GAGCAGGAGAGGGUAAUGGGGACACCACUACUACGUAUUACAAGCCAUUCUAAACAAAUAGGUCUUGAGUUUGGAUCUAAAAAGAGCUACAUCUGUAAUAGU